GGGCGGGGCCGGGAGGUCGCGGCCUCCCCCUUCCGCCCUGGGCCACGCCCCGGCCCGGGUCACCUCUGGGGCGGCCUCCUCGGCCCGUGGAACCUUCCUGCCCUCCCCUGGGGCGUGCGUCCCAAUCUCUGGUCCCCCAGUAGACGCCGCCGCGGGGAAGGCGGGGCUGUGCGAGGGCGCCGCGCUGCAAACCCAAGCCAGGCGGCCUGGAGGUUGCUGUAAAGCCUCAAACGAGGCUGAUGUCCUUGGGAACUGCAGGGCUGGGAACCCGGAGAAGGCGGCCAGAAUCUGGAGGAGCUUGGAGGUGGCCUUCCCUGCCGGGAACACAGGCCAGGCCCCAUCUGUAUCUAACCUCGUACUGGAGGAGCACAGAGCGGAUAUCUCCAGAUCUGAGUCCUGAACGCGCGGCCGGGAACCCCAGCAGUCCUGAACUUGUCAGGGGAGCGGCCUGCCGUGAGAGGUCUCCCAGGCGGCUGUGAGGCCUCUGGAACCUCCCUGCUUGGAGGAGGUUGACUGGGGACGGGGCCGUGGAGGUCAGUAAAAGGGACUGCUGCCAUUAGCCCUGUGCUGUCUGCACACAGAGAUUAAGCCCACUUGUGAUUUGUUCCAGCUGAUCUGAAGUAAUGAGUAAUUCACAAUUAAUGAGCGCGACUGUACGCAGCCCUUCCUGGACAAAUCCUCGACUGUGUAAAACUAAGAUUGAAUGCAAACCAUUCUGUCAAUUAACCGUUACAACAAAGCCAAACUUCUGUUAAGCAUCACUUCGUAGAUGAUUUUUUUUCCUUAAAUUGCCUCCUUGUCUGCAAAGCCUGUUUUGCAAGUGGAAUGCUUAAGUCACGUGAGUGGAAAUGCAGCCUUAUUUA